AUGGAGGAUUCCCUUGUGCCGCCUGUGCCUCCUGCCCCAACCACCCUUUUCCUCACUCGCCGGCGAUCACAUCUCGACAGCGCCUCCUACCGCACGCUCUCCCGGCUCUUCUCCCACUGCCUCCACCACCGCCCCUCGCAGCUCGCUGCCCCGGCGCCCCUUGAAGUCGAGCCCGCCGCUGCGAACCCUAUAUGCGACGAGUCGCCACAGGGGUGCUCGGUACCGCCUGGACGGGGAAAGGACUUAGGAGAAGAGGAGACUGCGGUAAGGACUUCUGUCAUCGAGAACCCCUCACCCGCGGCAGUCGAUGCAGCCACCGGUAACCCUAUUGCAGACCCGGCUGUGGCACCACAGAGAUACAUGGAGAAUCAAGUGGCCGGGGUUCAGCGGGUGGAGGGCGUAACAGAUAUGGUUGUUGGGGGAAACGUCUGCCGUGAGACUGUUGCGUUCGUGGAGGAGUUGGGGGCAGAGGAUGUUUUGAGGUCGAUGAAGGAUUGUUUGGAGGGGGAGGUUGACGAAUUGGCAGAGCCAGAUGUAGUGGUGGUCAAUGAUGAUGAACAUCUGCUGCUUGAUACGAUGAUGACCAACUUCUCAGGGUUGAUUGCUGAUGCCAGUGGCGGUACAACGUCAAUGCUGAACUAUGGGGUUUCUGGAGGUGAACCACACAAUGAUGGCAACAUAGCUGAGGGGGUGAAAGAAUUGGGAGCUGGAACUGAAGAAGACAGACCUGUGGGUGGUUUAGAUCAGCACUCAGUUGAUGGUGGCGUGGUUGAGGAAGGAGAGAUUGAGGGUGACAUGCAGGCUCUGGAUGUAGAUGAAUCUGAUGAUUCGGAGCUCGAAGAUGCAGAUGAUGAGGAAUUGGAAGAGGAUUUUACUAACAGAGUGUUGGGGGAGAAUGAAUCAUCUGGCCAGGACAUACCGUGUCUGAAUUUGCUUUCAACGCCUAAAACUAAAGGAACCAGUGAUCUUGUACUGAACAAGGAAGGUUAUAUCAAGGAUGAUGCACUAAAGCAUGUCACCAGGGCGCAGGCAGUCAGUUAUGAUGAAAUUGUGGAAUGGAAUGAGACACCGCUGCCUGAUGCUGAGGCUCCCAAACUAGGGAAGAGAAAACGGCAUUUGACAGAGGAAAGAAAGGCUAAGAAGACGAAAAACAAACGGGUUAAGAGAGCACAGCAGCGGAUAGCGGAUGGUGUGAAAAGACUGAAACUUGCACCAGUUAUAAAGCCGAAACCAGUGAAGUUAUGCCACUUCUACAUGCAUGGGAAGUGCCAGCAGGGCAAUGCUUGCAAGUUCUCACAUGAUACUACACCUUUGACAAAAUCUAAGCCCUGCACACAUUUUGCGCGCGGUUCUUGUUUGAAAGGAGAUGAUUGUCCCUAUGAUCAUGAGUUGUCAAAGUACCCUUGCCACAACUUUGUGGAAAAUGGAAUGUGUUUCAGAGGUGAUAAAUGCAAAUUUUCUCAUGUGGUGCCAACUGCAGAUGGUCCUUCCAAACCAGAUGCAAAGAAAUCUGAUGCGUCAUUGGUGUCUGAAAAACCUGGCAGAGAGCAAACAAGUAGUCAGAAAGCAUCAACGGUCCAUGAUGGCGAACGUGUAACUUCUGCUCCUACCAAACAUUACUCCAUCCUUAAAAACCUUGCCGGCAUCUCAGUAAAUGCUCUAAAAGCAUCAACCAGUACACCAAAGGGUGUACAGUUUCGUCCUUCCAGUAAAGACAGAUCAAAUUCUAGCAUGUUGCAUCAGGAUGCUCUAACCAUCGAGAAGCAUAUGUAUACAAAUGGCAGUAAACAUCAGAAUUUUGGUGGACCGCAGGCUGAAGAAGGGGAUAAAAAUGUCAGUCCAAAUAAACAGAGAUCAGCUCCACUGCUCGAUGAGAAGAACUCAUCAAAAGAAGCUAGUUCACAUCCAAGUUCAGACCCAAAGGGAACUAGUUUGCCUACUGGCUCUACUACAGUGCUUGGAUCACUCAGCACUCAGCACGAAGUUUCAGAGGCUUCAAGAAUUUUGCAAGAAUUCUUAUUUGGUGCUGGCAGUUAG
rnacentral:rRNA from 1 species